UAGACAAUGUAGUGUGUAUAAGUUCAAAAGAUUACAAAGAAGCGAUGUUGGGGCAGUUCAAUCUCAAGGCCGAGUUUUGUUUUCUUCCUCUCUAAAAUUCCGUCUCUUUGAUUGAGCCGCGCCAAUAUCACUUAACUUUCUUUCUUUUUUAUUCACUCAUUGUGUCAAUAUAUAUAUACAGGAGAGAGAGUGACAUGCAAUGUAGAAAUUUCUCUCAUUGGAACUGUUUUAUUUAUCAAACUCUUACUGCCUCAAAAUCUUCUAGAAAAGUACUAAUAUCAGAGAGAAGAAUAUUGGUGAAGGAUAGCAUCAUAUGAUAGGUGUCAACUUUACUAUGUUAUUUUGCAUCACCUAGGCUGGAAGAGGAAGAGCAUUGUGUAUGAAAGUGAAAUGUGUGUGGUUCAUCAGUUUGUAUGGUUGAAUGUACGAGAGAGAUUAAAUCUCCCAUUUUAGAAGGUAAAGAAGUUAUGUGUCGUCUCAGUUGCAUCUAUCUAUUAUGCAACUCAGAUAUAUUGUGCAACUUGGACACACUAGCUCCCAAUCAAAAUUUUGUAAUGUAACAAUUUUUAUAAUUAAAAUUAUUUUUAUUCUUUUGUACGA